rnacentral:rRNA from 1 species
GAGUUUGAUCAUGGCUCAGAUUGAACGCUGGCGGCAGGCCUAACACAUGCAAGUCGAACGGUAACAGGAAGCAGCUUGCUGCUUCGCUGACGAGUGGCGGACGGGUGAGUAAUGUCUGGGAAGCUGCCUGAUGGAGGGGGAUAACUACUGGAAACGGUAGCUAAUACCGCAUAAUGUCGCAAGACCAAAGAGGGGGACCUUCGGGCCUCUUGCCAUCGGAUGUGCCCAGAUGGGAUUAGCUUGUUGGUGGGGUAACGGCUCACCAAGGCGACGAUCCCUAGCUGGUCUGAGAGGAUGACCAGCCACACUGGAACUGAGACACGGUCCAGACUCCUACGGGAGGCAGCAGUGGGGAAUAUUGCACAAUGGGCGCAAGCCUGAUGCAGCCAUGCCGCGUGUAUGAAGAAGGCCUUCGGGUUGUAAAGUACUUUCAGCGGGGAGGAAGGGAGUAAAGUUAAUACCUUUGCUCAUUGACGUUACCCGCAGAAGAAGCACCGGCUAACUCCGUGCCAGCAGCCGCGGUAAUACGGAGGGUGCAAGCGUUAAUCGGGAUUACUGGGCGUAAAGCGCACGCAGGCGGUUUGUUAAGUCAGAUGUGAAAUCCCCGGGCUCAACCUGGGAACUGCAUCUGAUACUGGCAAGCUUGAGUCUCGUAGAGGGGGGUAGAAUUCCAGGUGUAGCGGUGAAAUGCGUAGAGAUCUGGAGGAAUACCGGUGGCGAAGGCGGCCCCCUGGACGAAGACUGACGCUCAGGUGCGAAAGCGUGGGGAGCAAACAGGAUUAGAUACCCUGGUAGUCCACGCCGUAAACGAUGUCGACUUGGAGGUUGUGCCCUUGAGGCGUGGCUUCCGGAGCUAACGCGUUAAGUCGACCGCCUGGGGAGUACGGCCGCAAGGUUAAAACUCAAAUGAAUUGACGGGGGCCCGCGCAAGCGGUGGAGCAUGUGGUUUAAUUCGAUGCAACGCGAAGAACCUUACCUGGUCUUGACAUCCACGGAAGUUUUCAGAGAUGAGAAUGUGCCUUCGGGAACCGUGAGACAGGUGCUGCAUGGCUGUCGUCAGCUCGUGUUGUGAAAUGUUGGGUUAAGUCCCGCAACGAGCGCAACCCUUAUCCUUUGUUGCCAGCGGUCCGGCCGGGAACUCAAAGGAGACUGCCAGUGAUAAACUGGAGGAAGGUGGGGAUGACGUCAAGUCAUCAUGGCCCUUACGACCAGGGCUACACACGUGCUACAAUGGCGCAUACAAAGAGAAGCGACCUCGCGAGAGCAAGCGGACCUCAUAAAGUGCGUCGUAGUCCGGAUUGGAGUCUGCAACUCGACUCCAUGAAGUCGGAAUCGCUAGUAAUCGUGGAUCAGAAUGCCACGGUGAAUACGUCCCCGGGCCUUGUACACACCGCCCGUCACACCAUGGGAGUGGGUUGCAAAAGAAGUAGGUAGCUUAACCUUCGGGAGGGCGCUUACCACUUUGUGAUUCAUGACUGGGGUGAAGUCGUAACAAGGUA